rnacentral:rRNA from 1 species
GAUGAACGCUGCCAGAAUGCUUAACACAUGCAAGUCCACUUGAACUUCGGUUUGGGUGGCGGACGGGUGAGUAACGCGUAAAGAACUUGCCUCACAGCUAGGGACAACAUUUGGAAACGAAUGCUAAUACCUGAUAUUAUGAUUAUAUGGCAUCGUAUAAUUAUGAAAGCUAUAUGCGCUGUGAGAGAGCUUUGCGUCCCAUUAGCUAGUUGGAGAGGUAACAGCUCACCAAGGCGAUGAUGGGUAGCCGGCCUGAGAGGGUGAUCGGCCACAAGGGGACUGAGAAACGGCCCGUACGCAUACGGGAGGCAGCAGUGGGGAAUAUUGGACAAUGGACCGAGAGUCUGAUCCAGCAAUUCUGUGUGCACGAUGAAGUUUUUCGGAAUGUAAAGUGCUUUCAGUUGGGAAGAAAAAAAUGACGGUACCAACAGAAGAAGUGACGGCUAAAUACGUG